UGAAAUUUGCCGCCGGGCAAUCAGCGUUGAACCUUGUAUCCAUAGGCCUUAGAGGAUACAGAUUUGGCGCUUUUUUUGU
rnacentral:ncRNA from 1 species